rnacentral:tRNA from 1 species
CAGAAGGUAAUUUAAUUACAAAAAUGCCGGUUUUGGGAACCGAUAAUCGAGGGGCAGGACCUUGUCUUCUGA